UACAGAGGUCCCGAGCGUUGUUCGGAUUCACUGGGCGUAAAGGGUGCGUAGGUGGUCUUGAAAGUUGAUGUGAAAGCUCAGGGCUUAACCCUGAAAUGGCAUUGAAUACUGUCGAGCUGGAGGUUUGGAGGGGGGACUGGAAUUCUUGGUGUAGCAGUGAAAUGCGUAGAUAUCAAGAGGAACACCAGUGGCGAAGGCGGCCCACUGGAUCGGUACUGACGCUGGAGGUGCGAAAGCGUGGGGAGCAAACAGG
rnacentral:rRNA from 1 species